GGACGAGGAAGAUAUUCAGAAGUUCAUUGAAGGCGGGGUGGAGAGUGAUACCAAUUCUGACAGUGAAGAUGAUGACUUGGUGACAAACCUAAAUGAAGCAGACAAUUUAAAUGUUGAUUCUUUACAUUUGUCGGAGCAGGAUGAUGGACAUGAAAGUCAUGGAAUAGAGGAGAGCGGUGAAGCAGGUGAAAGCAGCGGAUCUAAAAAGGAAGAGGCAACUGACCAGGAGGAAAACAAUGAAAUUGAAGCUGAACUCACAAAGAGCUUGUAAAUCAUAAAGCAUAAUAGAAGUGUUAUGUAAUUGUAACUAUUUGUU